UGAAUUAUUUAGGAACUUUAUGAUGAUAACGCAUACAAAUAAUUCAGGAACGACGCCGAUGUUCAUAAAAACUUGAGAAAAAGUACCGCAAAAAAGUCAAUAAUGAAGCUGAUAUAAACAGUGUUAAGAACCAACUUUGAACAACUUUUUUAAUUUGUGUUGACAUAUCAAAUGUGUUUCUAUUCCUAGGCCUCAGAAUUUGUGAGUAUAUCAAUUCUGAUCAACAAUCUUGAACUGGAUCAGUAAGAGUGACCUUUGGCUUCAAGAACUUUCCGAUGACUGAAGCAAAGUCGGAAAACAGCGGAUAUAGAAAUCAUGGUGAUCAUUCACUGAAGCACGUAAUGGACUCUAAAGUCAAAUUUCGCCAAAGCAUUAACGGUAAAUCAUUUUGAAGAUUUUUGAUUUACUUUCAAAAAUAUUUCAAAUAUUUUUUUAAGGUAAUCAACAGCUGCAGGGAAGAUCAACUACGACUGAUGUAAUGGAAGGAGUGACUUUGGAAAGUUUUGUUACUAUCUUUAGAACACAACAACGGCAAGGUGCGGAUCGAUCAAUGAAGGAUGGUUAGGAAAAGAGGCUUUUGGCAUGAUGGGGAUGGAUUGGGUAGAGGUGGUAAUGCUAUCUAUUCAUGGUAUAACUGAACCUUAUUUGUCAAGAUUAGUAAGUCACUUACGGCAAGUCUGUUGCGCAAGAGAAUAUGCUGUCAAAUAAAGCAGCGGUACUGCUUUUUAGCAGAGGCGCUCUGGCUUUUUAGCUUUUUAGGSUACGAUUGCGUCACGCCAUCACACGCACUGAAUUSAGGGACCAUACUGUAAGCACUCAAGGAUUUAUAAUCAACUUGAAUUGGUUUCUUUUUAUGAAUUAAAGACUGGUCGACUAGAAAAUUAUGUUUUUCCGAAGGGUGGGCUUGCAGAUACAUGCCUCUUUCCAAGACAAGAUACUGGCCCUGCAGUGGGACUUGCAGAUGGAAGGCUCUUUGCCACGCAAGAGUCUGGUCCUGCAGACGUGCUUGCAGAUCAUGUAUGGCUCACCACACAUGAGACUGGCCCUGCA